CUCCGGGUCCCGUGCGACGCGCAGCCGCAAACCCCGCCAGGUCCGGAAGGAAGCAACGGUAGCGGAAGAGCGCGUGUGCCGCGGGCGCCCCGGGGCCU
rnacentral:SRP_RNA from 1 species